AAUAGAUACCCUGGUAGUCCACGCCGUAAACGAUGAGUGCUAAGUGUUAGAGGGUUUCCGCCCUUUAGUGCUGCAGCUAACGCAUUAAGCACUCCGCCUGGGGAGUACGGUCGCAAGACUGAAACUCAAAGGAAUUGACGGGGGCCCGCACAAGCGGUGGAGCAUGUGGUUUAAUUCGAAGCAACGCGAAGAACCUUACCAGGUCUUGACAUCCCACUGACCGGUAUAGAGAUAUACCUUUCCCUUCGGGGACAGUGGCGACAGGUGGUGCAUGGUUGUCGUCAGCUCGUGUCGUGAGAUGUUGGGUUAAGUCCCGCAACGAGCGCAACCCUUGAUCUUAGUUGCCAGCAUUUAGUUGGGCACUCUAAGGUGACUGCCGGUGACAAACCGGAGGAAGGUGGGGAUGACGUCAAAUCAUCAUGCCCCUUAUGACCUGGGCUACACACGUGCUACAAUGGAUGGUACAAAGGGCUGCAAGACUGCGAAGUCAAGCCAAUCCCAUAAAACCAUUCUCAGUUCGGAUUGCAGG
rnacentral:rRNA from 1 species